UACGUAGGGUGCGAGCGUUGUCCGGAAUUAUUGGGCGUAAAGGGCUCGUAGGCGGUUUGUCGCGUCGGGAGUGAAAACACACAGCUUAACUGUGUGCUUGCUUCCGAUACGGGCAGACUAGAGGUAUGCAGGGGAGAACGGAAUUCCUGGUGUAGCGGUGAAAUGCGCAGAUAUCGGGAGGAACACCGGUGGCGAAGGCGGUUCUCUGGGCCUGUACUGACGCUGAGGAGCGAAAGCGUGGGGAGCGAACAGG
rnacentral:rRNA from 1 species